rnacentral:lncRNA from 1 species
AGGUGUGGGUGGGGUUAUUUAUACCCUUUGCCUUUUAAUCUCAAUCGUCCAUCAAGAUUAAAUCUAGACCGUCCAUCGCGAUGCAAUCUGGACAUUCCGUGCCUGAUUGAAUCUGGGCCGUCCCUGCGCACGUUUGAUCUGGGCUGUCCGUAUGCGCGAGAACGAACCUGGGCCGUCCGAUCGCGCGCACGCGGAUCGCCCACGUGGCCCGUCCCCUGGUCAGCGUUUCCUUGCCACGCGGUGCGUCCUGGUUGGUCGGGGCUGCUGACCGGGCUGCUGACGUGGUGAUGAAGUGGUACAAUUUUUCUAAAUUGUAUUUUGACCUCCGGUUUCUAAUUUUCCUUUCAAAAACACCCCCAGAAUCUAAAUUUUCACCCCUUU